rnacentral:rRNA from 1 species
UACGGAGGGUGCAAGCGUUAUCCGGAUUUACUGGGUUUAAAGGGUGCGUAGGUGGGUCUGUAAGUCAGUGGUGAAAUCUCCGAGCUUAACUCGGAAACUGCCAUUGAUACUAUAGGUCUUGAAUUAUCUGGAGGUAAGCGGAAUAUGUCAUGUAGCGGUGAAAUGCUUAGAUAUGACAUAGAACACCAAUUGCGAAGGCAGCUUACUACGGAUUGAUUGACACUGAGGCACGAAAGCGUGGGGAUCAAACAGGA